rnacentral:rRNA from 1 species
UACGGGGGGGGCAAGCGUUGUUCGGAAUUACUGGGCGUAAAGGGCGCGUAGGCGGCCUUCUAAGUCGGACGUGAAAUCCCCGGGCUCAACCCGGGAACUGCGUCCGAUACUGGAAGGCUUGAAUCCGGGAGAGGGAUGCGGAAUUCCAGGUGUAGCGGUGAAAUGCGUAGAUAUCGGGAAGAACACCCGUGGCGAAGGCGGCUCUCUGGGACGGUACUGACGCUGAGACGCGAAAGCGUGGGGAGCGAACAGG